rnacentral:rRNA from 1 species
GAGGAAUAUUGGUCAAUGGACGAGAGUCUGAACCAGCCAAGUAGCGUGAAGGAUGACUGCCCUAUGGGUUGUAAACUUCUUUUAUACGGGAAUAAAGUUAGCCACGUGUGGCUUUUUGUAUGUACCGUAUGAAUAAGGAUCGGCUAACUCCGUGCCAGCAGCCGCGGUAAUACGGAGGAUCCGAGCGUUAUCCGGAUUUAUUGGGUUUAAAGGGAGCGUAGGCGGGUUGUUAAGUCAGUUGUGAAAGUUUGCGGCUCAACCGUAAAAUUGCAGUUGAUACUGGCGACCUUGAGUGCAACAGAGGUAGGCGGAAUUCGUGGUGUAGCGGUGAAAUGCUUAGAUAUCACGAAGAACUCCGAUUGCGAAGGCAGCUUACUGGAUCGUAACUGACGCUGAUGCUCGAAAGUGUGGGUAUCAAACAGGAUUAGAUACCCUGGUAGUCCACACAGUAAACGAUGAAUACUCGCUGUUGGCGAUAUACGGUCAGCGGCCAAGCGAAAGCAUUAAGUAUUCCACCUGGGGAGUACGCCGGCAACGGUGAAACUCAAAGGAAUUGACGGGGGCCCGCACAAGCGGAGGAACAUGUGGUUUAAUUCGAUGAUACGCGAGGAACCUUACCCGGGCUUAAAUUGCAACUGACUGAACCGGAAACGGUUCUUUCUUCGGACAGUUGUGAAGGUGCUGCAUGGUUGUCGUCAGCUCGUGCCGUGAGGUGUCGGCUUAAGUGCCAUAACGAGCGCAACCCUUAUCGAUAGUUACUAGCAGGUCAUGCUGAGGACUCUAUUGAGACUGCCGUCGUAAGAUGUGAGGAAGGUGGGGAUGACGUCAAAUCAGCACGGCCCUUACGUCCGGGGCUACACACGUGUUACAAUGGGGGGUACAGAAGGCAGCUACACGGCGACGUGGUGCUAAUCCCGAAAGCCUCUCUCAGUUCGGAUUGGAGUCUGCAACCCGACUCCAUGAAGCUGGAUUCGCUAGUAAUCGCGCAUCAGCCACGGCGCGGUGAAUACGUUCCCG